rnacentral:rRNA from 1 species
UACGGAGGAGGCAAGCGUUAUCCGGAAUUAUUGGGCGUAAAGCGUCCGUAGGUGGCUCUUCAAGUCUGCUGUCAAAGAGUGGGGCUUAACCCUGCAAAGGCAGUGGAAACUGAAAGGCUAGAGAGCCGUAGGGGUAGAGGGAAUUCCCGGUGUAGCGGUGAAAUGCGUAGAUAUCGGGAAGAACACCAGUGGCGAAAGCGCUCUACUGGGCCAUAACUGACACUGAGGGACGAAAGCUAGGGGAGCGAAAGGG